rnacentral:rRNA from 1 species
GAAAAUUGGUUAAUAUUCCAAUGCCAACUAUAAUGUGCGAUGGAAGGACGCUUAGAGUUAGAGGAGCCAGCGGAUGGUAGUGCUGGUCGAAAGGUGCAGGUUGGAGUUCAGGCAAAUCCGAACUCCUUUAAGCCGAGGCCUUACAGGUGCGUGAAGUUCUUCGGAAUGAAUCGUAAAUCCUUGAUACUGUCGAGCCAAGAAAAGUUUCUAAGUUUAGUUAUAGUUGCCCGUACCGUAAACCGACACAGGUGGGUGGGAUGAGUAUUCUAAGGCGCGUGGAAGAACUCUCUUCAAGGAACUCUGCAAAAUAGCACCGUAUCUUCGGUAUAAGGUGUGCCUAACUUUGUGAAGGAUUUACUCCGUAAGCAUUGAAGGUUACAACAAAGAGUCCCUCCCGACUGUUUACCAAAAACACAGCACUCUGCUAACUCGUAAGAGGAUGUAUAGGGUGUGACGCCUGCCCGGUGCUCGAAGGUUAAUUGAUGACGUUAGCUCUGCGAAGCGUUUGAUCGAAGCCCGAGUAAACGGCGGCCGUAACUAUAACGGUCCUAAGGUAGCGAAAUUCCUUGUCGGUUAAAUACCGACCUGCAUGAAUGGCGUAACGAGAUGGGAGCUGUCUCGAAGAGGGAUCCAGUGAAAUUGUAGUGGAGGUGAAAAUUCCUCCUACCCGCGGCAAGACGGAAAGACCCCGUGGACCUUUACUACAGCUUGACACUGCUAUUGGGAUAAAAAUGUGCAGGAUAGGCGGGAGGCUUUGAUCCAUAGACGCCAGUUUAUGGUGAGCCAUUGUUGAGAUACCGCUCUUUUUUAUUCUGAUAGCUAACUAGCUUGAGUUAUCCUCAAGUAGGACAAUGUCUGGUGGGUAGUUUGACUGGGGCGGUCGCCUCCCAAAAUGUAACGGAGGCUUACAAAGGUUGGCUCAGAACGGUUGGAAAUCGUUCGUAGAGUAUAAAGGCAUAAGCCAGCUUAACUGCGAGACAUACACGUCAAGCAGAGACGAAAGUCGGUCUUAGUGAUCCGGUGGUUCUGUAUGGAAGGGCCAUCGCUCAACGGAUAAAAGGUACUCCGGGGAUAACAGGCUGAUCCCUCCCAAGAGCUCAUAUCGA